ensembl:lncRNA
GCAAGCUGAGCGGGGCCCACGCCUCUCCUGGGUGGCCAGGUGGAUGCAGCUGGGCCGUCGUCUGAGCGGCCAGAGUGGGAGAAGGGUGAGCCCAGGCCCCAGUGCUCAGGAAGGCAGGCUCGCUGGUCAUCCACGGGCAGUGGGGGACAGCCGGUCGCAGGCCGAGACAUGGAGAGCCUGGGCAGAGGUUGACGGGAUGGGGCAGCGGGCCUUGCUGCCGCUGCCCACCCAAGGGCUCACCAGGUGCCCCCUGGCUGUCAGGGGUUCAUACCUGAGCAGGCGGGCUCCUCCAAGAGGGCUCUCCUGAGAGCAAGGAUGUGCUCAAUACCCGCCAGAUAACAGUCUUUCAUGGCAGCUGAGCCUUCCAGAAGCACAGAAGAUUGGGAUUGAGAGCCACGCAUCAGUAUAGCUCUGGACGAUUCUGAAGUCAUUCACCACCUAUUCAUUCAUCCUUUCAGUCCAACAAGCCCAUCAGACUGUCCACUCGCUGGGCACUGGCUUUCCCGACAUCCGAUCGGCAGUUUUAAGGAGGCAUUUCCCUCCUCCCUGGAAUUCCCGCCUCCGACAAGACCUUCAUUCAGCCCUCUCCUCCUGAGCCUGGGGAGGUGGGCGCCUAGAAACCUGGGGGCUCCCCUCUUGGCAUCAACCUGAGCGCACGUUUUCUGAAAUCGCAUCCUAACCAGAGUGAUUGCUCAUGCGUUAUUCAGGAUACUCCAUUAUUUUCUUAACUUCCUUGGUUGAAGGAACACUCAUGCUGCCUUAAGGCUGUGGAUGCUCAGGAAGCAUCGCUUUGGCUCAGUGUCUUGUCUGGAGUGUCGUCAGGAAAACUGUUCAGAAGGGCCGGAGUCUGGACACGAAAGUGAGAAGGGCGAAAUCUCCGGCCGGCGCCGUAAGCAAACGUCACUGACGCCCACACCCCAGAGACCAGAGUCCAGUGCGCCUGCCAUCUCUGGCUCAUAUCUGACCUCCAGUUUGCUUCACCGAGUGUCAGACACGACGGAAACCCAGCAGGGUUUACCUCACACUUCCCAAGUCUCGUGUGACGACACGGACACCGGGGCAAGCCCUCAUCCACCAAACC